rnacentral:lncRNA from 1 species
GGACAGACUGCUUCUGAAAUAAUGUAGCUCAGGGAAGCCCAGUGCACACUCUUCCAAGUUUAUCUAGGAUAUUAUAUAGCAUCAGGAAAAAAUUCUUCUCAGUGUGUGGAAAACAGAACCAGCUGAGAACUGUCCCUGUUUCACACACAGAGAAAUGAGGUUUAAUGGAACACAGUGCAAAGGAGCUGCAGUUAUUGUGUUUUUACUCAGCUCAGGAACUGGAUAUAAUAAAGGGCCCGUCAUAUAUACUGUUCUGUUUUCUAUGGACUCACUGAAAUCCCCUGCUGUAUCUCUGACCAGACAAAAAUUCUCUUUGGGAAGACAGCCAGCUCAAUGCAGGACUGCAUUUGAAUGCCACUGGAGGGAAUAAAUACUUCUUAGUGACUUGCAAAUCUGUGCCUGUUCUCCCAUAAAAGGUAGCAAGCACAUUGUUCUCUUCUCUGUAGCAUUCCCUACUUCCAUCCAGCUGGAAGAAAAGGAGACCAGACAAAAAGUCAAACUGAGGGCAUCUGCUUCACUGAUUAUACCUGGCCACUAAUCCACUAAGACAGCUCCAGCCUCAUAGGGAUUUUAAGAAACUCCUGCCCUGGCUAAUGCUUUAUACUUAUACAAAGUUUUAAAACGAAUACUGCACAGUAUUAGCCUGUAGCCCAAACAGACCCAAGUUGUCUGCAUUUCUCCCAGCAUUUGGUAUAUGAGCAAACAAAUAUGGCCAGUGUCUUCCACUGCCAUUUCUUUUACAACAGCACAUGUGACAGAAAGAAAUAUAAUUCACGAGUGGUGGGGGACUGUUGGAUUACCAUUUGACUUUUGAAGACUGGCACCAAAGUCAGCAACUAGCUCAUGAAAUUUAUAGGAGAGUAGGAGCAGAUGAG